rnacentral:rRNA from 1 species
UACGUAGGGUGCAAGCGUUAAUCGGAAUUACUGGGCGUAAAGCGUGCGCAGGCGGUUUUGUAAGUUUGUCGUGAAAUCCCCGGGCUCAACCUGGGAAUUGCGAUGAAGACUGCAAGGCUAGAAUCUGGCAGAGGGGGGUAGAAUUCCACGUGUAGCAGUGAAAUGCGUAGAGAUGUGGAGGAACACCGAUGGCGAAGGCAGCCCCCUGGGUCAAGAUUGACGCUCAUGCACGAAAGCGUGGGGAGCAAACGAAGG